AUGUUCUUCAUGGCUGGCAUUCGUUUUCCAUGCUACAAACCUAUUUGGAAGUCAAAGGCGCCGCCCCGCUGUCGAUUCUUCAUGUGGCUGGUUGUGCAUAGACGCUGCCUCACGGCAGACAACCUGCUGCGUAGAGGUUGGCCGUCCAAUUCUACAUGCCCUCUGUGCUUAGCGGAACCGGAGGACUGCACACAUCUCUUCGUGCACUGCAGAUAUACGCAGCACCUUUGGAGCAUUUUCAUGCAAUGGACGGGGGCACACUUCUCCAUUCCUGAUGACUCUUGCAACACCACAGAGGACUGGUGGUUGUCUGCAAGGAAGAGCAUCCCCAAGGCGAACAGGCGUGAUUUCGACACCAUUGCUAUCCUGGUACAUUGGAGGAUCUGGAAGGAGCGGAAUGCUAGAAUUUUCCAGCACACGGCCAGCACAGCCAACAGCGUCCUCGAUCUGAUCCGUGAUGAUAUUGCUGUGUGGAGGGCUGCUGGAUGUGUGGCUGACAUCUCCAAUUGA
rnacentral:rRNA from 1 species